rfam:Gossypium arboreum cultivar AKA8401 contig_13769_3, whole genome shotgun sequence.
AACCCAUUGUGAGGGCACCUUCUCAAUAGAUCCUUGUAUCUCUCCCAUGCAACGUAGAGUAUUUCUAAAUCCAUCUGCACAAAAGAGGAUAUAUCAUUACGUAAUUU